rnacentral:lncRNA from 1 species
AUCUUGGAAAGGAGGGCGACAAGCUUUGGAGGGUGGAGAAUAACCCAGUUGAAAAUCUACAAGCAAUGCUGUCCACAUCCCAAAUAGACUGGUCAAAAAGCCUUCAUCCCGUCAGUCACUGACAUCAACUUCAUCCAAAUCAGACUCCUAAAAACCCGGCCUAACUUAUGUGUCAUGCAAAGGAUGGCUCUUGGAAAAAUGCAAAGGGGCCGCUAAGGGAGAGAUGUGAAGGUCAAGGAAGCUCUGAGCUCCUGACAGCCGCCCUUCCAGCCUUCUCCUGCCUUCCAUAGAGAGAUGCUAUGGACUCUUGGUCCAGAGACUCAAAUUCAAGGAAAAGAAGAGGCAACAUUUGCAGUGUUGAUCCUUGAGUUGAACAAAGAGUGGUCAGGAGAAGAAACCAACAAGAAAUGUAACCUACCUCCAGAACUCAGGAACUCAGGUACCCUUAAGGAUAUCAGAAACAAUGAAAUAUGGAUUGGCAGAAGCAUCUUCACCACCAUCUUCAGAUGUAAUUAAUGCAGCUGUUGAAUUUGGUUGACUAUCCACCUAUAAUUACCACAUUGCCCAUUACAGAUUUUUGCUGCCUUUUCUUGCCUCCUUUUCAUUUUUACAUCCACUUAUUCCCUACAGAAAUGACAGAUAAUCAGCAUUUUUGUUUUCUUGUUAUGUUGUCCUGAUAGUACAGCUACAAAUGGAUUUGAUGUGCUGAAUAAUGGUCUACUAGGCCUAAAAAUGAAAGUCUAGACCCUUAGUCAAAAAUAACUUGGAUCUAUGUGGUACCAAGAAAAGAGGAAUUAUAAGAAAAAGAAUAUUAGUUUAAUGUUCUGUAAAUUUUUUUCUUAACCUAUUCUGUCCAGUAUUUACUACUUGGCUGCAUUCCUAAAACAUAAAUUUCACAGGGGCAGGAGUCUUUGUCCAUUUUGCUCAUUAAUGUGUUAGGAAUACUAAAAAGAGUGUCUAGCGGGGUAGUCACAUAAUAAAUACCUGUUGCAUGAACAAA